GCCGGGUGUGGUGGCACACACCUUUAAUCCCAGCACUCAGGAGGCAGAGGCAGGUGGAUCUCUGUGAGUUCAAGGCCAGCCUGGUCUACAUAGUGAGUUCCAGGACAGCUGGAGCUAUGGGGAGACCCUGUCUCAAAAAGACCGAAAAAAAAAAAAAAAAGAAAGAAACAGGUUCUUACUAUGUAUCUCUGGCUAGCCUGGAACUUGCUAUGUAGACCUGGCCUCAAACUCACAAAGAAGCAUCUGCCUCU
rnacentral:sRNA from 1 species